GUCUACAGCCACGCUACCCUGAACAAGCCCAAUCACGUCUGAUCUCGGAAGCUAAGCAAGGUCGGGCCUGGUUAGUACUUGGAUGGGAGACCACCCAGGAAGACCAGGUGCUGUAGACG
rnacentral:rRNA from 1 species